rnacentral:rRNA from 1 species
GAUGAACGCUGGCGGCGUGCUUAACACAUGCAAGUCGAACGAAUCUUGAGGAGCUUGCUCCUCUUGGUUAGUGGCGGACGGGUGAGUAACGCGUGGGUAACCUGCCCUAUAGAGGGGGAUAACGUUUGGAAACGAACGCUAAUACCGCAUAAUAAAGAAGAGCUGCAUGGCUUUUCUUUCAAAGAUUUAUCGCUAUAGGAUGGACCCGCGUUGGAUUAGCUAGUUGGUGAGAUAACAGCCCACCAAGGCGACGAUCCAUAGCCGGCCUGAGAGGGUGAACGGCCACAUUGGGACUGAGACACGGCCCAAACUCCUACGGGAGGCAGCAGUGGGGAAUAUUGCACAAUGGGCGCAAGCCUGAUGCAGCGACGCCGCGUGAAGGAUGAAGGUCUUCGGAUUGUAAACUUCUAUCAGCAGGGAAGAAUAAAUGACGGUACCUGACUAAGAAGCCCCGGCUAACUACGUGCCAGCAGCCGCCGUAACAC